rnacentral:misc_RNA from 1 species
GGAGGGAGUUUGUGAUCAUCAAGUGCAAAACAAUCCUAGUAGUUGAAUACAUAUCCAACUGAGUCACAAAAUAUUCAUUUUUAGUUAAAUGCCACUAAGUGAAUUAUGGAACUUGCAAAUGAUUUUGUAGGUUUUGAGAAGGAAAAUGUUGCAUGCUUAAAAAGCCCACAGGGCUUUCUCAAUAGGUUUUUUACUUGUAAACAAUUGACACAUUACAUGCCUAAAUUGAUUUACCAGUGACUUUACC